rfam:Ailuropoda melanoleuca scaffold386_95, whole genome shotgun sequence.
ACCUGGCUGGCUCAGUUGGUGGAGCAUACGACUCUUGAUCUCAAGGUUGUGAGUUGGAGCCCCAUGUUAGGUG